GAUGAACGCUGGCGGCGUGCCUAAUACAUGCAAGUCGAGCGAAUGGAUUGAGAGCUUGCUCUUAUGAAGUUAGCGGCGGACGGGUGGGUAACACGUGGGUAACCUGCCCAUAAGACUGGGAUAACUCCGGGAAACCGGGGCUAAUACCGGAUAACAUUUUGAACCGCAUGGUUCGAAAUUGAAAGGCGGCUUCGGCUGUCACUUAUGGAUGGACCCGCGUCGCAUUAGCUAGUUGGUGAGGUAACGGCUCACCAAGGCAACGAUGCGUAGCCGACCUGAGAGGGUGAUCGGCCAAACUGGGACUGAAACACGGCCCAGACUCCUACGGGAGGCAGCAGUAGGGAAUCUUCCGCAAUGGACGAAAGUCUGACGGGGCAACGCCGCGUGAGUGAUGAAGGCUUUCGGGUCGUAAAACUCUGUUGUUAGGGAAGAACAAGUGCUAGUUGAAUAAGCUGGCACCUUGACGGUACCUAACCAGAAAGCCACGGCUAACUACGUGCCAGCCGCCGCCGUAA
rnacentral:rRNA from 1 species